rnacentral:rRNA from 1 species
AGUACUGACGCUGAGAUGCGAAAGCGUGGGAGCAAACAGGAUUAGAUACCUGGUAGUCCACGCUGUAAACGAUGUCGAUUUGGAGUUUGUUGCCUAGAGUGAUGGGCUCCGAAGCUAACGCGAUAAAUCGACCGCCUGGGGAGUACGGCCGCAAGGUUAAAACUCAAAUGAAUUGACGGGGGCCCGCACAAGCGGUGGAGCAUGUGGUUUAAUUCGAUGCAACGCGAAGAACCUUACCUGGUCUUGACAUCCAUAGAAUUCUGCAGAGAUGUGGGAGUGCCUUCGGGAACUAUGAGACAGGUGCUGCAUGGCUGUCGUCAGCUCGUGUUGUGAAAUGUUGGGUUAAGUCCCGCAACGAGCGCAACCCUUAUUCUUUGUUGCCAGCGAUUUGGUCGGGAACUCAAAGGAGACUGCCGUUGAUAAAGCGGAGGAAGGUGGGGACGACGUCAAGUCAUCAUGGCCCUUACGACCAGGGCUACACACGUGCUACAAUGGCGUAUACAAAGGGAAGCGAAGGUGCGAGCUGGAGCGGAUCUCAUAAAGUACGUCUAAGUUCGGAUUGGAGUCUGCAACUCGACUCCAUGAAGUCGGAAUCGCUAGUAAUCGUAGAUCAGAAUGCUACGGUGAAUACGUUCCCGGGCCUUGUACACACCGCCCGUCACACCAUGGGAGUGGGUUGCACCAGAAGUAGAUAGCUUAACCGCGAGGGGGGCGUUUACCACGGUGUGAUUCAUGACUGGGGUGAAGUCGUAACAAGGUAACCA